rnacentral:rRNA from 1 species
UUUGUGGAGGGUUCGAUUCUGGCUCAGGAUGAACGCUGGCGGCGUGCUUAACACAUGCAAGUCGAACGGGAUCCCUGGCAGCUUGCUGUCGGGGUGAGAGUGGCGAACGGGUGAGUAAUGCGUGACCAACCUGCCCUGUGCACCGGAAUAGCUCCUGGAAACGGGUGGUAAUACCGGAUGCUCCGCUCCAUCGCAUGGUGGGGUGGGAAAUGCUUUUGCGGCAUGGGAUGGGGUCGCGUCCUAUCAGCUUGUUGGCGGGGUGAUGGCCCACCAAGGCGUUGACGGGUAGCCGGCCUGAGAGGGUGACCGGCCACAUUGGGACUGAGAUACGGCCCAGACUCCUACGGGAGGCAGCAGUGGGGAAUAUUGCACAAUGGGCGCAAGCCUGAUGCAGCGACGCCGCGUGCGGGAUGGAGGCCUUCGGGUUGUAAACCGCUUUUGUUCAAGGGCAAGGCACGGUUUCGGCCGUGUUGAGUGGAUUGUUCGAAUAAGCACCGGCUAACUACGUGCCAGCAGCCGCGGUAAUACGUAGGGUGCGAGCGUUAUCCGGAUUUAUUGGGCGUAAAGGGCUCGUAGGCGGUUCGUCGCGUCCGGUGUGAAAGUCCAUCGCCUAACGGUGGAUCUGCGCCGGGUACGGGCGGGCUGGAGUGCGGUAGGGGAGACUGGAAUUCCCGGUGUAACGGUGGAAUGUGUAGAUAUCGGGAAGAACACCAAUGGCGAAGGCAGGUCUCUGGGCCGUCACUGACGCUGAGGAGCGAAAGCGUGGGGAGCGAACAGGAUUAGAUACCCUGGUAGUCCACGCCGUAAACGGUGGAUGCUGGAUGUGGGGCCCUUUCCACGGGUCCCGUGUCGGAGCCAACGCGUUAAGCAUCCCGCCUGGGGAGUACGGCCGCAAGGCUAAAACUCAAAGAAAUUGACGGGGGCCCGCACAAGCGGCGGAGCAUGCGGAUUAAUUCGAUGCAACGCGAAGCGCAACGAGCGCAACCCUCGCCGCAUGUUGCCAGCGGGUGAUGCCGGGAACUCAUGUGGGACCGCCGGGGUCAACUCGGAGGAAGGUGGGGAUGACGUCAGAUCAUCAUGCCCCUUACGUCCAGGGCUUCACGCAUGCUACAAUGGCCGGUACAACGCGGUGCGACACGGUGACGUGGGGCGGAUCGCUGAAAACCGGUCUCAGUUCGGAUCGCAGUCUGCAACUCGACUGCGUGAAGGCGGAGUCGCUAGUAAUCGCGGAUCAGCAACGCCGCGGUGAAUGCGUUCCCGGGCCUUGUACACACCGCCCGUCAAGUCAUGAAAGUGGGUAGCACCCGAAGCCGGUGGCCCGACCCUUGUGGGGGGAGCCGUCUAAGGUGAGACUCGUGAUUGGGACUAAGUCGUAACAAGGUAGCCGUACCGGAAGGUGCGGCUGGAUCACCUCCUUU